GAGUGAAAUUUCCGAGAUCCCACAAAAGUUAUGGAGGCUUUCUGAGAAAUGUGAGGAACUCAAUGAAGAAAACAAUGACAUAAUUGAUGAACUAGAGAAGACGUAUGGUCCAGAUGCCGUUUCUGAUCUCAAAGCUGCGAAAGUUGAGUCUUUUGAUGGCAAAAGCAACAGCCCUGAACCUUUUGAUGGCGAAAGCAACAGCGCUGAACCGAAAACUCCAAGCAGAGACAACUCAAGUCCUGAUCCUCUAAUGCUUAGUUUGGGGCUAUAACCACUCUGCUGAUUUUUUUUCUUUUUAUUGUAGUUGAAAGCUCCAGAAUGAAAAGAAGAAAGGAAGAAAAAUAUUCCCAUCUCAUCAUUUUCGCCUGUUUUGUGCCAACUGAUGGUUUUCUACUAAAUGUUGUGAGACUUGGAUUGGAGAAUGGAACUGUAAAGAUUUUUCUAAUUAUAAAUAGAAAUGGCCAUAGUUGAAACAA